UGGGGAAUCUUGCGCAAUGGACGAAAGUCUGACGCAGCGACGCCGCGUGAGUGAUGAAGGCCUUCGGGUUGUAAAGCUCUGUGGGGAGAGAAGAAUUAGUGGAGGCUAAUCACUCCAUGAUGACGGUAUCUCCUUAGCAAGCACCGGCUAACUCUGUGCCAGCAGCCGCGGUAAGACAGAGGGUGCAAACGUUGUUCGGAAUUACUGGGCGUAAAGCGUGUGUAGGUGGCUGCGAAAGUCGGAUGUGAAAGCCCUGGGCUCAACUCAGGAAGUGCACCCGAUACUGCGCAGCUCGAGUACCGGAGAGGUUGGUAGAAUUCUCGGUGUAGAGGUGAAAUUCGUAGAUAUCGAGAGGAAUACCUGUGGCGAAGGCGGCCAACUGGACGAGUACUGACACUGAGACACGAAAGCGUGGGGAGCAAACAG
rnacentral:rRNA from 1 species